rnacentral:miRNA from 1 species
GGGGGCCGUUACACUGUCAGAGAUGUAGUCUGAGGGUCUCACAGUGAACCGGUCUCUUUUCCUGCUG